rnacentral:misc_RNA from 1 species
UCGUACAAAAUUGUGUGAGGCAUGCUCGGGCUGUCGCUGACUCGAAAGAGUCGUGCACGUCGGAGUGUGUCCUCUCACAUAAUAAUCCAUCUCACCCUUUGUGCACCACCGCGUGGGCACCCUUCGGGAUCAGACCGAUCUCGGAGGGGGCUUGCGUUUUCACACAAACCCCCUUUUUAAAAGUGUAGAAUGACCUCAUUUAUGCAAUCAAUAC